UUUUAACGGCCGCGGUAUUCUAACCGUGCAAAGGUAGCGUAAUCACUUGUCUUCUAAAUAAAGACCAGUAUGAACGGCUAAAUGAGGACUAGCCUGUCUCCUAUGUCCAAUCAGUGAAACUGAUCUUCCAGUCCAAAAGCUGGAAUACUAACACAAGACGAGAAGACCCUGUGGAGCUUUAGACCCCCUACUAAUAAACAAACAUGUAACUAGUACAAGUCUUAAGUUGGGGCGACUUCGGAAAAAAGAAAAACUUCCGAGCAAAGAACCACCACUUCUAGCCCAGGAUUACAAGCCAAGGCCAAAAAUUGACCCAGUCUUACUGACCAACGAACCAAGUUACCCCAGGGAUAACAGCGCUAUCUUCUUCAAGAGUCCCUAUCGACAAGAAGGUUUACGACCUCGAUGUUGGAUCAGGACACCCCAAUGGUGCAGCCGCUAUUAAAGGUUCGUUUGUUCAACGAUUAAUAGUCCU
rnacentral:rRNA from 1 species